GCAAUCUCUUCAUCAGUGUGCUGGGGCUUUUUAAGGAGCUGCAGGAUGACUACUCUUUAUUCCACCGUUAACCUCACUGGUUGUACGAAGCCGUUUGACCUUCUUGUGCUGUUCCUUGAAACUUUGAAGUGUUUCUCUUGAUUCUUUGUUUUAGUUUUUGGCUCUUUGUGCUUGUAGUUUAAAUAAUUCUCUGAUGACUUUGGACACCAUCAGCAAACCUUCAUCAGUCCCCCUGCUCUCCUGCCAUCCACACAGACCGAACCCUUUGGGUUCGCUCUUCCUCACUCUGUCAGGAUCAGUCCACCUGCCUUGAUGUUAACUCAUCUGUCAUUUUCCUCCAACUUCAGAUUUAUUCACAACUUUGUGUUGGUCUCUCGCUGACGUUUACAGUUUUACUGCGACAAAACGAGAUCUGCUCACAAUGAUCUCAGAGCUGCGACGGCUGCACAGGGAGGGCUGCGGCAGGAAAUGUAAAUGGAGAACAAAAGUCACAUUAUAGCUCCUGGGUAAACAGAUUUCUUUCCCACGUCAGACUGAGUGGUCGCAAUCAUGCAAAACAUUUCUUUCGCUUGGAGCGGGGCUGCACCUCAAUCACUCUGUCUUCAUCCAUUCACUUCAAGAUCCCAAAGACAUCGUGUUUAAGAUGGAAGGCGACGCUGCACUGUUUCUCCCAUCUGAGGGCCAACAGCACAGCCCCAAGGAGGCCAGAGAGGAUAAGAAGCCCGUUUAGAGAAUCUGUUAUGUCGGUACCUUUGUCUUUCCAUUCAUCUCUCUGGGGAGGCUGCCGAAAAGGUCACACAGACUUUAUCGUUUGAUGAGUGAUUCUCUGUUCAAAACACCACUGAAGCCCCAGCAUCUGCUUCCUGACUCUGACUCCUAAGUGUUUUUAUCUAAUGAGGCACCAAACUCGCCACCUCUCACCUUCACAUUUUCCACUGUUUUUAACAUUCCUUUUUGGUCCUUGUACCUUUGCACUUCCACCGUCUCUCCUCCUCUUUCAACCUGUAUUUUUUAACCUUUCCUGAUGUCCUGUUAUUCACAUCAUUCCGGGUUUUUCUCGCCUGCCUUGUGCUGGUCUUGAUUCUUUAUUCACCACCCUUCCUUACCUUCUCCUCUCCUCCUUUGCUGACAAAGAGCUGCUGAUUGCCUGGAGAUUGAUUAGGAUAAGGGGUACACCUAGUCCCCGAAAUUGGAUUGGAAGCCUUUUGGAGAGGCUCCUGAGUUAGAUUUUUCUCUACUUGCUUUAUAAAAGCCAGAAGUCGAGCAGAAUCAGAAAAUAAUGGGUGUUUUUUAAAAGUGAAAAGGGUGCAUAAAGUCUGCAUAUCGUCUGCAGAGCAUGGACUCUCUGUAACACUGUUAGCAUACAGUUAUAAGUACAGGCACAGAGCGGUAUGGUCUGUUAUGACUGCACAAACACAUAAAAAAACAGAUUUCUGUGCAAGUGCAAUGCAAAUGUUCUGCAAAACUGAAAGCCGGUUUCAUAAUUCAUUGUUUGGCAAAAGUAUUCAGACCUCUUAAACAUUUUUACAUCUUGUCACGUUACAACAGCAAACUUUAAUGCAUUCUAUUGGAAUUUUAUUGGGAUACACCAACUCAUAUCAAUGAGUAGUUGGGGAGGUGAAAGAAAGAAUUUCAUACCUCUGACAGAUUUAGAUUUAAUAUUUUCAUUCAGCCGAGUUUAUCUCUGAUUGGAAAUGGAAAAAGGCAUCUUUCGAGAAAGACAGGAAAAUGUGAAAGCGUUAAUUUUUUAGGUUUUAUUGUAAAUGGCAUGUUGAAAAAUUAUUUAUACCCUUCUCAAUAAUCACUGGAAAACCUUUACUGACGUUAAACCAAUCAAAUCUUUUUUUAUAGACAUUUAACUGCUGAUGAGCUUUUUACAUGGUUUUACUGUUAUUCUCAUUAUUCAUGUUUAGUGAUGAACUCUAAGUCUUUGAGAUUGGAAGACUUUGCUUUUUUCUGUCACCUCCUUCACAGAUUCUCUGUCAAAUUAAAGUUAGGACUAUCUUAAACCCAAAUCUGCCAGGGGUAUAAAUAAUAAACUGUACAAAGUUUA